rnacentral:rRNA from 1 species
AGUGAACGCUGGCGGUAGGCCUAACACAUGCAAGUCGAACGGCAGCACAGUAAGAGCUUGCUCUUACGGGUGGCGAGUGGCGGACGGGUGAGGAAUACAUCGGAAUCUACUUUUUCGUGGGGGAUAACGUAGGGAAACUUACGCCAAUACCGCAUACGACCUACGGGUGAAAGCAGGGGAUCUUCGGACCUUGCGCGAUUGAAUGCGCCGAUGUCGGAUUAGCUAGUUGGCGGGGUAAAGGCCCACCAAGGCGACGAUCCGUAGCUGGUCUGAGAGGAUGAUCAGCCACACUGGAACUGAGACACGGUCCAGACUCCUACGGGAGGCAGCAGUGGGGAAUAUUGGACAAUGGGCGCAAGCCUGAUCCAGCCAUACCGCGUGGGUGAAGAAGGCCUUCGGGUUGUAAAGCCCUUUUGUUGGGAAAGAAAAGCAGCAGGUUAAUACCCCGCUGUUCUGACGGUACCCAAAGAAUAAGCACCGGCUAACUUCGUG